CCACCACAAGCACCUCCAACGCCACAACCAUUUCACCCCUCUGUGAUGAGGAAUUUGAAAUUUGAUGGCUGUGCCCAUCUGUAUAAUAUGCCUUGACCUCCUUCUUUGGUUGGUGAUGAUGGGAGCACAGGGCAUGAAGUUGAAGCUUCUCACUGAAGCCUGCAGUUGUUUGUCAUAUGAGGAAAUUGAAUGGAAAUUUGUGGGUACGAGCUAACAGUUAUCGGUUACUGUUUUGUUGAUGCAAAAUAUUAUCUAGAAACCUUGUAUCUUAAGUAAUUGUUAUUGCCAUAGAAACCUUUAGAUGCUUCUCUUGCAACUAUUGGUACGGUUCUGGAGCUAAUGGAUUUCAU
rnacentral:rRNA from 1 species